rnacentral:rRNA from 1 species
GCCUUGACAUACUAAGAACUUUCCAGAGAUGGAUUGGUGCCUUCGGGAACUUAGAUACAGGUGCUGCAUGGCUGUCGUCAGCUCGUGUCUUGAGAUGUUGGGUUAAGUCCCGCAACGAGCGCAACCCUUUUCCUUAUUCGCCAGCGGGUAAUGCCGGGAACCUUAAGGAUACUGCCAGUGACAAACUGGAGGAAGGCGGGGACGACGUCAAGUCAUCAUGGCCCUUACGGCCAGGGCUACACACGUGCUACAAUGGUCGGUACAAAGGGUUGCUACCUCGCGAGAGGAUGCUAAUCUCAAAAAGCCGAUCGUAGUCCGGAUCGCAGUCUGCAACUCGACUGCGUGAAGUUGGAAUCGCUAGUAAUCGCGGAUCAGAAUGCCGCGGUGAAUACGUUCCCGGGCCUUGUACACACCGCCCGUCACACCAUGGGAGUUUGUUGCACCAGAAGUAGGUAGUCUAACCGCAAGGAGGAC